GCCUGGGUGGCUUAGUGGUUGAGCAUCUGCCUUCAGCUCAGGGCAUGAUCCUGGGGUCCUGGGAUCGAGUCCCACACCAGGCU
rnacentral:tRNA from 1 species